AGCGAACGCUGGCGGCAGGCCUAAAACACGCAAGUCGAACGCCCGUAGCAAUACGGGAGUGGCAGACGGGUGAGUAACACGUGGGAACGUGCCCUUUGGUUCGGAACAACACAGGGAAACUUGUGCUAAUACCGGAUAAGCCCUUACGGGGAAAGAUUUAUCGCCAGAGGAUCGGCCCGCGUCUGAUUAGCUAGUUGGUGAGGUAACGGCUCACCAAGGCUACGAUCAGUAGCUGGUCNGAGAGGAUGAUCAGCCACACUGGGACUGAGACACGGCCCAGACUCCUACGGGAGGCAGCAGUUAGGAAUCUUGGACAAUGGGCGCAAGCCUGAUCCAGCCAUGCCGCGUGAGUGAUGAAGGCCUUAGGGUUGUAAAGCUCUUUCAGCGGGGGAAGAUAAUGACGGUACCCGCAGAAGAAGCCCCGGCUAACUUCGUGCCAGCAGCCGCUGUAAC
rnacentral:rRNA from 1 species